rnacentral:lncRNA from 1 species
UUAAUUCCAUUUCAUCUGAUAUUUGAAGAGGUGUCAGCUGGCUUGUACUUGGCUGCAUCAGUUUUGGCUGCUAGUUUUAUUGGAUUUAUUUCCUUCAAUGCAGUUACAAACUGCUCAGCGUCUUGGAAACCUUUCAAUGUUAAAACGGCCAUAACGUCUUCUAGAAAAAAGAUAUUAACAAUCCGUGAAAUGAUCCAGAAAAUUGACAUCCGUAGCUUUCCAAGCAUAUAAGGCUCAUUCUCUAAUUCAUUUUGAACUGUUCACAACUUGCUUCCAAAGUCAGCUGACCUGCACAGGCAGUUUUGACGAAUUUGUUACUUAAAAUCCCACUUGUGCUAUUUUUCUUUUACUUGCUUGACAAAUCCUACAAAACACAAAAACAAAGUAAAUAGCUCAAAAAUAUAAGGAACUAACUAAGAAAAGACAAGUGAAUUUGAUGUAAAAUAUAUAUAAAUAUGAGCUUAUCAGAGGUCCACAUACUUGACCUUAGUUGCAACAUGUUCGACCUUUACUAGUUCAUCACGCUACAUGUAGCCACACGUGUACAUGGGAGUCGUUUUGAAGCAUUAUGUUGAGUGUAUUCAUCCAUUGUUAAGUGAUAGGAGCAUAUUUAUGCGACUUAGUUAGCCUGUUUCUUGGUAUUUA